ACUCCUACGGGAGGCAGCAGUGGGGAAUAUUGCACAAUGGGCGCAAGCCUGAUGCAGCCAUGCCGCGUGUAUGAAGAAGGCCUUCGGGUUGUAAAGUACUUUCAGCAGUGAGGAAGGCGGAGUCGUUAAUAGCGGCUUCGUUUGACGUUAGCUGCAGAAGAAGCACCGGCUAACUCCGUGCCAGCAGCCGCGGUAAUAC
rnacentral:rRNA from 1 species